GAAAAUUAAGUGUUGGGUGUGAAAUCUAGUACCAUGUGAAGUCCCAGCCAGAUUUCUUUGAAAGCUUUGAGGCAUCUAAACAUGCCAAAAUGAAAGAAGAAAGAACAUGGACAGCCACCCAUGUAGCCCUGCAGCCACCAGGGGCCAGCAGCAGCGAGGACUCCAAGUGCAGACUCCCAGUGCGAGCCUGGGUGCAGCAACGCAAGACCAGCCGAAGCGCAGCUGGAACUGACUAGCUAGCUGGACAGGAACAGACAUGGACUGAACCAACAGAAUGUUUAAACUUCCACAAUAAAUCUUACCACUAUACCUUUCCUCCCAUACGUGGGUCCCCAGAACGCUUUCCUUGCUUCUUCCUGCAAGGACCCCAUUUCCACCAUCAGCAGCAGAACCUUAUCAGACUAGAGGAAAGUAAAACUAACUUAAACAAACUGUUUAUAGAAUGUCUAGGGAUUAAACUGUGAUUGAUACAGGAGAUAACACAAAUACCCAGCAAUAAAUUGUUAGAGUUUUAAGUUUCUAUUAAGAUUCACUGUCGAGGAGAGAAC